AAUAAAAUGAAUUUAAAAUGAAAAAGAAUCUCAUUUACAAUACUAUCAAAAUAACAGAUACAGUAGAAUUUUGAUUGUGUAACAGUAAUAUUUUCAUGCUUGAUUCUUCUCUUCUUGAAAACUUUUUGGAUCCUGAAAAUAUCUACAUAAAAGGCAUAAAAGUUUUGGAUUUUUACAUAUAUUCCUUAAAACUUAAUGAGUGUAUGUACAUUCAUUAAGUUCUAAGGAAAAGCAAAUGCUUUUAAUUUUUCUGAUUAUGUAAGAAUAAGCAAUCUAUUGUUUUCUCUAUUAUAAUAUUUAUUAAAAAUAAUAUGUAUAUGUAAUAAUCAACAAGGAUAACAAAGAUGAAAUGUAUUGUUAUCAGUUAAAUAUUAACUGAGGACAAUAUAUUUUGAAUUCUUUAUUUUUUCAUAAAUCAAUACUUAAAAUUCAAAAUUUAUACUGAAUCAUUUUCUGUUUUUCACCAAUCUCUUUUCCCAAGUAAGGUAGGAGUCUGCAUACAUCAUUCAUCAAAGUCAUUUUUCCAUUUUUGUCUUAAUCUUCUCAAUGAGAAGAUUAAAACAAAUAUGGUAAAAUAAAUUAAGAAAUUUUUGAAAAGAAUAUAUAGAAAGAAUAAACAAAAACGGACAGAUCAAAAUUGGCAUAGUUCAAGAAACUAAUUUGUGGCUGACUGCAGAAUAGCAAAGAAGUAAAUUUACAUACUGCCACAUAAGUAUAGAACUGUCAUCUUUCUUGCAAGUUUGAAGUGUGAAAGUAUUUUUUUCAUCAUGCCUCGUGGUACCCAUUUAACAGACUUUAAAAAAGAACAAAUUACAGCUUUGAGAAGCACUGGUUUAAGUCACCAGGAUAUUUAGGUAUUCAAGUACAUCACAAAACCAUUAGAAGAGUUUUACACAGCAACAACAACAUUGUUUGGUCUCGAAUGAGAAGUGCCCCUGCUCUUAAGCCUGAGCACAAAGCUGCCUGACUCAAUUUUGCUAGGAAAAGCAUGGCAACUCAAUGGAAUAAAAUAAUCUUUUCAAACAAAAAAAAAUUUAAUUUGGAUGGGCCAGAUGAUUUAGCAUUCUACUGGCAUAAUUUACAAAAAAAGCCCAAGUACUUUUCACAAAGGAACUUUGGUGGUGGGAGUGUUAUGGUUUGGGGUGCUUUUUCUGCUUUGAGAAAAUUGGAUUUGGCAUUUGUUACCUGUCACAUGAACAGUGCCAACUAUCAACAAGUUCUGGAGAACAAAUUGCUACCAUACAAACAUAGAUUCAGAAAAAUUCCUCUUAUUUUUCAACAGGACAAUGCAUCUAUCCAUGUAUCACAAGACAUGAAACAAUGGUUUGAAAAUACACAAAUUGGCCAGUUCAUUGUCCUGAUUGCAACCCUAUAGAAAACAUUUGGAAAUCUUGGUUGACUGAAUUUAGGACCAAAAUCAUCGAUAUAUCAACACUGAAUACUUAAAACAAGCAAUUGUCAAUGCUUGAAACUCCUUUGAGACAUCGAUCAUAAAAAUCCUUGUUGAUAGUAUGCCAAUUGUAUUUCAAUGUUAUCUGUAAAGGAGGUGCACAAAUAAAUUACUAAAUUAAACUAUUUUGUAGUAUAUAAUUCUUUUUGCAUUCAUUUACUUUUGUGGUGCUUAAAAUCAGUUUUUUUUACAAUUUCUGCUGUUUGCUGCAAUAUAGGAAACUAUAAGUUUCAACAAAUUAUGUUUUGAUAAAUCCUGAACAAUAUAAGAAAAAUAGCUACAUCAUACAUGUAAUGCCUAACCUUCCUGUAGUAAAAUUUGCAGUUGUUCUAUACUUUUGCGAAGCACCUUAUAUGUAAAAAUAUUUAUAAAGGAAAGAAACAUAUAAAAAAACUUUGCUC